AACGAACGCUGGCGGCAGGCCUAACACAUGCAAGUCGAACGAGACCAGCGGGCCGAGUGGCGCACGGCUGCGGAACGCGGGGGAAGCGGCCCUUAGGUGCGGAAUAACUCGCCGGAGGGGGUGCUAAAAUCGAAAAGGUUGCUAGGACCAAAGAUUUAUCGCCGUUGGAUGGGGGGGAGCUGGGUGCGCCAGGUGGUAGGGUAAGAGCAUACCAAGGCGACGAGCACUAGCUGGUCUGAGAGAAUGAUCAGCCACUCUGGGACUGAGACACGGUCCAGACUCCUACGCGAGGCAGCCGUGGGUAAUAUUGGCCAACGGGCGAUAGCCUGAUCCACCUCUGCUGCGUGAGUGCUGACGGCCUUAGGGUUGUAAAGCUCUUUUACCCGGUAUGAUAAUGACAUUACCGGGAGAAUAAGCUCCGGCUAACUCCGUG
rnacentral:rRNA from 1 species